AUCACUUCUGGAUUUUGUUGAAAUGGAGAGUCUGAUUCAGGAGGUCUGAGUGGGGCCCAAGAAUCUGCAUUUCUAACAAACUCCCAGGUGAUGCUGA
rnacentral:pre_miRNA from 1 species